AGGACAGUGCAGGUAGGUGUUCCGAGGUAAGUACCGACAGUUUUGCCAGUUGUUGUGUGGAAUAAUUUCCUAAAAUCAGGCUUUUAGCAGUGUUAUACGAGGAGCUCUGGGAGAUAGUGUCUGCUAUGUCUCGAGGUCAAGCUCAGCCCCCUUUGGUGGAUUAUUUUUACUUGCGGACCCCUAGUUACUGCACGGUACUUUUAAUAAUUUUG